GCUUCCUUGGCUCAGUUGGCUAGAGCGCAGGUCUCAUAGUUCAUCUAUGACAUUGGAAAUCUGACCAGUGUAAUCCUGAGGUCGCAAGUUCGAGCCUUGCAGGGAGCA
rnacentral:tRNA from 1 species